AGCAAGUAUGAUCUGGCAUCAGGGAUGUCUUGGGUUCUUGUCUGAAUGGUGUAUUUGAUUCGCUGUGCUUCUGAGAAUAAAUCUGCCUUCUCUCUUGCCAUUUUCAUGACCUUAGCGUAUUGAGCUACAGCAGCAGGAUCAUCUGGAUCAAUUGUGAUCUUCUCUUUUCGGAAAACAUCCAAUGCUGUCUCAAACUUCUUUUUCACUUCCAAAAAUAUGUUCUUCAGCAUUUCAUCUCCCUUCAGAGCAGGCCGAGCAGCCUCUUUUGCAAAGUGACGAACAGGAAUAGCAUGCCCCUGGUGUAAGAUACUUUGACUGCCAAGCACCUGGUUGGAUUUGGACAAGAGACGAGAAGAGAGAGCCAUGGU
rnacentral:misc_RNA from 1 species